UGGGGGAUUUUGCACAAUGGGCGCAAGCCUGAUGCAGCGACGCCGCGUGAGGGAUGAAGGCCUUCGGGUUGUAAACCUCUUUCGCUGGGUUGAAAGGCCAUGCUUUGGGUGUGGUUGAUUUGAACUGGUAAAGAAGUACCGGCUAACUACGUGCCAGCAGCCGCGGUAAUACGUAGGGUACUAGCGUUGUCCGGAUUUAUUGGGCGUAAAGGGCUUGUAGGUGGUUUGUCGCGUCUGUCGUGAAAUCCUGUGGCUUAACCAUGGGCUUGCGGUGGGUACGGGCAGGCUUGAGUGCGGUAGGGGAGACUGGAAUUCCUGGUGUAGCGGUGGAAUGCGCAGAUAUCAGGAGGAACACCGGUGGCGAAGGCGGGUCUCUGGGCCGUUACUGACACUGAGGAGCGAAAGCGUGGGGAGCGAACAGG
rnacentral:rRNA from 3 species